UACGGAGGGUGCGAGCGUUGUCCGGAAUCACUGGGCGUAAAGGGCGCGUAGGUGGUGGCUUAAGCGUGCGGUGAAAGCUCGGGGCUCAACCCCGAGUCGGCCGUGCGAACUGGGCUCACUGGAGCAUAGUAGAGGCAGGUGGAAUUCCGGGUGUAGCGGUGGAAUGCGUAGAGAUCCGGAAGAACACCGGUGGCGAAGGCGGCCUGCUGGGGCUAUGGCUGACACUGAGGCGCGACAGCGUGGGGAGCAAACAGG
rnacentral:rRNA from 1 species